CAUGGCCUGGACCGCGCUUCUCCUGGGCCUCCUGGCUCACUGCACAGGGUCUGUAUUUUCCUAUGAGGUGAAUCAGCCGCCCUCAUUAUCUGUGAGGCCGGGAGGGGAGGCCAAGAUGACCUGUGCGGGAAACAACAUUGGAAGCUAUUAUGUUGCCUGGUACCAGCAGAAACCAGACCAGAUCCCUGUGUUCAUCAUAUAUGACAGCAACCGGCCCUCAGGGAUCCCUGACCGCUUCUCUGGCUCCAAGUCUGGCAACCUGGCCACCCUGACCAUCACGGGAGUCCUGGCUGAGGAUGAGGCCGACUAUUACUGCGCAGUACAUGGUUCCUUUGACAGCAGCUGGCAGUGA